AAAGGUUUAGGUUUAUUUUUAAUUAAAAAGCCGCAGAAGCCCUCGGACGUAAUGUCGUUUUCGCCGUCCCCGCCUGGCCGAGGCGUAGGCCACGGAGCGCCGGCAUCGUCCGUCGAGAGGCUAAGCGACGCACAAGUAAUAAAUCCAGGCAAGUCCUUCGGCAAAAGAUGGAACCCAGAUCGCAACACGUGCACUGGGCUUAAAAUCGGCCACUAUGGCCGCUGCUUUUCAUUCCCGGCGACGAUAAACGAUUUUCCCCCUGCUCUGUUGACAGACCGAGACGCUGGAACCAAGCGAGACGAGCUGCCUGCAGAACGCCGCUUUCUAAAGGGUGCAGCGAUAUCGGUUUGGCAGAACGCGCCCGAUGAGGCAUCGCAGUGGACAGCUUUCGCCCGUCGGCCCCACAGCUUGUUGGAGCGACUUCGCGGAAAAAGCAAACAGCUUGCCAUCGACACAUCACCUG
rnacentral:lncRNA from 1 species